rnacentral:rRNA from 1 species
UACGUAGGGUCCAAGCGUUAUCCGGAAUCACUGGGCGUAAAGCGUGCGUAGGUGGAUGUUUAAGUGAGAGGUUAAAUCGUGUGGCUCAACCAUAUCGAUGCCUCUCAUACUGGGCAUCUAGAGGACAGCAGAGGCAAGUGGAACUAGUAGUGUAGCAGUGAAAUGCGUAGAUAUUACUAAGAACACCAAUGGCGAAGGCAGCUUGCUGGGCUACUCCUGACACUGAGGUACGAAAGCGUGGGUAGCAAACAGG